CUUGGUGGCGAUAGCAAGAAGGUCACACCCGUUUCAAUACCGAACACGGAAGAUAAGCUUCUCAGCACCAAUGGUAGUUGGUGGCUAUCCCACUGUGAGAGUAGGACGUUACCAGGC
rfam:Bacillus sp. LF1 genome assembly, contig: CONTIG000008